rnacentral:rRNA from 1 species
GACGAACGCUGGCGGCAGGCCUAACACAUGCAAGUCGAGCGGAUGACGGGAGCUUGCUCCUUGAUUCAGCGGCGGACGGGUGAGUAAUGCCUAGGAAUCUGCCUGGUAGUGGGGGACAACGUUUCGAAAGGAACGCUAAUACCGCAUACGUCCUACGGGAGAAAGCAGGGGACCUUCGGGCCUUGCGCUAUCAGAUGAGCCUAGGUCGGAUUAGCUAGUUGGUGGGGUAAUGGCUCACCAAGGCGACGAUCCGUAACUGGUCUGAGAGGAUGAUCAGUCACACUGGAACUGAGACAUGGUCCAGACUCCUACGGGAGGCAGCAGUGGGGAAUAUUGGACAAUGGGCGAAAGCCUGAUCCAGCCAUGCCGCGUGUGUGAAGAAGGUCUUCGGAUUGUAAAGCACUUUAAGUUGGGAGGAAGGGCAGUAAGCUAAUACCUUGCUGUUUUGACGUUACCGACAGAAUAAGCACCGGCUAACUCUGUGCCAGCAGCCGCAGUAACAC